rnacentral:rRNA from 1 species
GACGAACGCUGGCGGCGUGCUUAACACAUGCAAGUCGAACGCUGAAGCCCUGGCUUUUGUUGGGUUGGAUGAGUGGCGAACGGGUGAGUAACACGUGAGUAACCUGCCCUCUUCUUUGGGAUAACGCCCGGAAACGGGUGCUAAUACUGGAUAUUCACUGGCCUUCGCAUGGGGGUUGGUGGAAAGGUUUGUUCUGGUGGGGGAUGGGCUCGCGGCCUAUCAGCUUGUUGGUGGGGUGAUGGCCUACCAAGGCUUUGACGGGUAGCCGGCCUGAGAGGGUGACCGGUCACAUUGGGACUGAGAUACGGCCCAGACUCCUACGGGAGGCAGCAGUGGGGAAUAUUGCACAAUGGGCGAAAGCCGGAUGCAGCGACGCCGCGUGAGGGAUGGAGGCCUUCGGGUUGUAAACCUCUUUCGCUCAUGGUCAAGCCGCAACUGUGGGUUGUGGUGAGGGUAGUGGGUAAAGAAGCGCCGGCUAACUACGUG